GUCUGGGUGGCUCAGUUGGUUGAGCAUCUGACUUCAGCUCAGAUCAUGAUCUCAUGGUUUGUGGGUUCGAGCCCCACGUCAGGCU
rnacentral:tRNA from 1 species